UUAGACGUGUGCGUGCUGAACUCUUUUGAACGUGUGUGUGUGUGUGCCCCGUGUUGACUGGCUGCCUUGAGUUUCCGUUGGCAGCACCGUCGCCUCGCCCGGUCCAGGUCGCCGUGUCGUUUUGACGCGCGGGGCAGGUAGGGCCGGUAGGUGACGAUGGUAGUCAGAUAGCGGAGACGAGGAAGAGGCAAAGCAAAGGUCUAUUCCGAUAUAUAGGGGUCGUUGGGGAGGCGGAGGAGGAGUCGGAGGGAGAGGGGUGCUGCCGGUGGCGCCCUCGAGCGGCAGCGGGGCUGCUCCCAAGAGUUCCUUAGUUCUAAGACUGUAUCGAGGGGACUUGAGUCGUACUGCGGCCACCAAGUAACGAGACAACCGUGGUAGUCGGACAAGGUGUAUCCGUCAAAGUCCGGGUCGGCUCUUUAGGUCUAUUCUUCCAAGGCACCAAGUCUCUCCAUAAGCUCUCAGUGUAGCGGGAGCGCGGUACCCGACGACGUCGGUGUCUGUGGUAAGGUGGACUAGUCGUAGAUGUUUUCUUCGACCAGGAGACGGUUGUUGUCCGAUUCCUGGAACAGUCGUCGUCGACAACCCUGGCUACAGUGCCACCUCCCAAGCCGUAGAGGCAGUCCUCUUUGGAGGCUCCGGCGUGGACGGCGACGACUUUGAUGACCCGUCCGACACCGAUCGUUCUCGGGCCGAAGGAGGGGAGGGUUCAAUCCGGCGUUGGGUGCAUUCUCGCUCUACGGAGGCAACUUCCUACCACUAGAUCAAGGACCACGUAGGAAAUGACCCUUUCAGUCCAGAUAGUUCGGUAAACCUCAGAAACAACUGUAACCUCGUAAGUGACUUCCGGAACAAGUAUAGAGGGCUCAUUCACUGCCAAAACACCUUCUAUAUAGAUGGGAGAAGUGACAACCCGUUCUCCACAGUCACUUUAAUCACCUUCAUUUAUUUCUUUGUUCCGCGUAGAGGAACUGUUACGCCUGUCCACCUCUAAUACAGUUCCUUCGUGGAUGCCGAGGUUCGCCACCCUCCUCAGGUUGACGUCGACGCGGAUCUUCGAGUGGUUCCGUUUGUUUCCUAAAGUUCUUCUAUCUGCUCCGUUUCAUAUGUGCUCCUGUUAGAGACUGACCGUGACACUUUUUAUGCUGUUCUUGUCCCAGUAAACACUGUGACGGACUACCUCUUCUUCCUAAGGAGGGUUCCCUUCUCCUUCGUCGUCGUGACAAGUGGGAAUAGCCCGUAAGGCGUGACCUUCAACCAGUUCUCCAUUGCCACUUUCAUAACUUACAUCGUGCUCCGGUCCAGUGUAACUGUUACUUCCCCCCUCUUCUACUACUGCUACUCAACAGCAGCAAUUUGUGGUUGGACUUCGUCCCUACCAGGUCUCCCUGGUUGCGAAAGCUCAAUCGAAAGGCAUCCUCGUUCCUUUAGAGACGUAAGAACCUGGUCUCCCUUUUCCAAUGCCGAGGUCUUCACUUUUGUCUUCAACUCUGACUCUGAAGUCAAAGUUGAAGACCCCAACUUUCGCGUUAACUACUGUUCGAGCAACUCGGAGGAUGACUUCAACUUUCGUUUCUCCUAUCAAGAAAUUGUCUUUGACAGUGACCGUGGCAACUCGGAGGAUGUCAAAGACGAUGACUUCAACUUUGGUUUCUCCUCCUGUCGCGAAGUUGUCUUCGACAGUGACCGCGGUAACUCGGAGGAUGUCAAAGACGAUGACUUCAACUUUGGUUUCUCCUCCUAUCGGGAAGUUGUCUUCGUCAGUGACCACGGCAACUUCUUUAGUGAGGACAACUAUUCCGACUCCUCGGUCUUCUUAGUCAUGUCCUCCAAGGAUGUUGACGUUCAUCACUCAGACGACACCAUUGACUCCUUCAUCGUCGGAGCCUACUCUUUUGGUGUCUCCAAAGACGACGACGUCGACGUCUUCGUUCGUGUUGGUGUCGUUGAUAAAGAGGACGAGAACAGUUCGUCAAUGCACUACGUUGACCUCGUCCGUACUACCUGACGUUUUUCCGAGAACGACUUAGCUCACCACUGUAACUAUUUCGAGUUCUUAAGGAGGCCUUCUUUCCCGAUCGACGACGACUGUUCUCCCGACCUUCUCGGUGACGCCUCCCUUCUUAACCAAGAAUGUAUGUACUGUCGUCUUAGCCAUAGGAAUAACUUAACUUGACACUCUGACUGAAACAUAGUGCUCCACUGCAGAAAUUCCUCAACCAGCUACUAGAACGGUACGUUCGACGACGAACGGGAGUUCAUUUAAUGUAAAGGUAACUGCUACAGGGCCUCCUCCAACACUUCUUCCUCUGCCUCAACCUCUACGUCUCCCUCCUGAACGACAGCUUCGGACUCGUCUAGGCACGAUUCUAACAGCUCCCGGCUCAUUUCUUCUCCGAACCUCUUAAACGUAACGAACUUGUUGGUAAGUAGUUCUUACUGUUCCAGUGUUGGCCACUUACCCACUUCGUUUGAUAACGAUGUUAGCCUCUCUUGUACUUCCACUCCUCCAAACAAGCCAUGUUGGACCCUCUUCCCAACCUCUUUUUUUCGGUCCUAAAACGACGACUUCAACGUCGGGUCUGUCGGCGCUUUGGUGGUGGUCGACGAGGACACUUCCUACUGUUCGGACUCCUUAGCCAACUUCGACGUCUCUUCUUUGGUCGACACCGUUAAAGUCGACGUAACCAUUUCGUUGAGGCUCUACUUUGACCGCGACCAUACUACCUGACGUUCUUUCGCGACCGACUCUGACCCCCACUGGAAGUCCCCCGAGUCCUCAAGGAGUCCUUUUUCCCGGAGAGCAGGCGUCUGUUCUUCAGCAGAGCGGACUGGCGACUUCCAGACUAACCGAGUAUGUAGGUGCUGUUGGCGUAUCCUACGUACUAACUUUAGUUGAGACUCUGACUGAAGCACCGAGCGUUACUCUUUAAGUUCCUCGACCACUUACUGGAGCGUUACGUUCACCACCGUACGGGUGUCCAACUUAUACAGAGUUACCUCCUGUAUGGUCUCUCACAACAGUCGUUCCUCUUCCUCUAACUCUACGUCUCCCUCCUGGACGUCAGCUUUGGGCUUUUGUAGUCCCUCUUCUAACACCUUCCCGCCUAUAGUUUCUCCGAACCUCACUACCGGGAGGACCUCGUCGGGAAGUAGUUCCUACUGUCGUUCUGCCACUUCCUAGAGCAAUUCCUCUGCUAGCGGCCGGACCCCCUCUUGUAGUUCCAUGCCUCCAAACAGUCCGAGUUGUCAUAGGGAUUCUAAAUGUACGAUGUUUGUUCUACAAGGUGAUGUACAAGUACACUCAAUGUUCUCGAAGGUGUAGGUCGCGUUAAGUCUGUCGGGCGUACGAGAGGGCGGGCUGCAAUU
rnacentral:rRNA from 1 species